UCCCUAACCUCAUCCCGAUCCGCCGCCGCCAUGAUCCCAACCAUCCGCCGCCGCUCCCUGCCCCAUUCACCGCCACUCCCUGCCCCAUCCACCGCCGCUGCUCACCGCAUUCAACCUCUAUUGCAUUCCAGCACCUCCAUAGCCACCGUGGACCAUCUCUCUCCUCGCUCCUCUCUCUUGGAUUAGCAUGUGGUGACGGAUGAUUCCGGUCGCGUGGUCGUGACGAGGCUGCUCGGGGAAUGAUGGAGCUCUGCUCUCCUGCGGUAGCGAUGCGUAUGGCGACAAGAAUGUUCUUUUGUACCCCUCCACUCUUCGGACCCCUGAUGCACGGACGUACGCGGAGAAAAUCACGCUCCGCUCAGCAAAUUCAUCUGUGUUCUAAGUGGCUGCUCGGCAAGAGACAUGGUCACAUGGAUGAUUAGCAUCUUUUGGCAAAAGCAUGUUAAUUUACUGAAGAAAUACUACUGCUCCGAUGACUAUGAGCGUUGAUAUCUAAUCCUGAUUCUUGAGGACCACUUUAGGAUGCGAUCAUUAAUGCAGCUUCAAAGCUGCUUGACAUAGCAUGGAAUUUGAUUUUUACUAAUUUUAAAGCAUCCAUGUGACCACAAUCUGAUGUGUGUGCCAUAGGAUUAGUGUCGUUUGAAGAAUUGUUAAUAAGGAAAUUCCACAAUCUGAUGUGUGUGACAUAUGAUUGGUGUUGUUUGAAGAAUUUCUUCUUACCAAGCAGGCUUGUGAUUUUAGCUGUCAAUGCAGAGCUUGUGCCGGAUGUUCAUCAUCAAUGCUAGUGAGGGGUUCAGGCUCCUAUUGAACUCAUGGCAUCAGCCAUAUGGACCUGCAUGUAUUUGAUAGUUUGCUCAAUCAUCCCUUCAACCACAGCUAAGGCUACCACACUACUUCAUUGAGAUUUCUUUCCUACAGGACAUGGAUUUAUAAUAUCCAACAAUACGGUCAUGCUUCUUAUAUUUACUUUCAGUUCUAAAUACAUUUGUGAUUUUCUAUAUGCUGUCUUACUAAACUGUGUGUGCUAAACAA